UUUUUUUUUUUUUUUUUUUUUUUUUACUUUUUAGGGCUGCACCUGCAGCAUAUGGAAGUCUCCCGGCUAGGAGUCACAUCAGAGCUACACCACAGCCACAGCAAUGCGGGAUCUGAGCUGUGUCUGUAACCUACAUCACAGCUCAGGCAACGCGAGGCCAGGGAUGGAACUGAGCGAGGCCAGGGAUCGACCCCGGAUACCAUUUGGACUCCUUUCCGCUGCACCACUGUGGGAACUCGCAUGUCCUUUUUUUAAAGUGCCCUCCCCCCAGCCGCCAGCCGCUGUGUAGACAAUGGGGAUAGUGGAGGAUGGGGGAGGGGCCGUGCAGGGAGGACCCCAGGCUUGAGCCCCCGGGGAAGGAACUAUCAGCUCCCAGGGGGAAACCCAGGGAGGACCAGGGAGGAUCCCUCCCAGCACAUCCUCCUUCCCAGCCCUGCCCACUGGCAAUUUAUGCGAGANCGCUACGAGAUUUGGGGUCUGGGCGUCUUCUAGCUCUGACUGUUCCUUCCCCCCGAAAUGCACCCACACAGAAAUCCACUGAGCUGCUUGUGCCACCUCACAUCUCCUGGGUCGUACGAGGGUAGCUGCAUGAAAGGAUGAGUUUUGGUCACUCAUCUCUCCAAGGUUUUUUCAGUGACUCCGGCGACUGAGUCACUGGACACAGCCUGAGCAUCACCUCUGUUCCUGUGCUGGGCCCACUUGCUUUCACUCGGCUUUUCCCAGAAAGCUGGAGAACCAGACAAAUGUUUGAUGGAAACUCGGGCCCAGAGGUAGAAACCCCACUGAUUGGGUAUCUCCAACUCUGUCCUACUUGUAAAGAAUGGGAGAUGUUCCCAUUUGUAUAGGUCACCAAAUCACGCUGAAGAGAUUCAGGGUCCUAAGUCAUCGGGCACUGUUUCCAGAUUUGGCCCUUGCAUUUCUCUCCUGCCCCCCGCCCCCAUCCGUGUCCAUGCUAUUGUGAGCAUGUUUGGCUAUCUAGAAAGACAAUCCUGGAACUAUAGUUCACUUUCCUACCCCCCAAAAUAGUGAAUCUUUAACAAUCUCCCCCGAAUGGAUGCU
rnacentral:lncRNA from 1 species